rnacentral:rRNA from 1 species
UGGUGACUAUAGCAAGGAGGUCACACCUGUUCCCAUGCCGAACACAGAAGUUAAGCUCCUUAGCGUCGAUGGUAGUCGAACUCUGCCUUACAAGCAGAGGGUCGGCGGUUCGAACCC